AACGUAGGUGGCGAGCGUUAUCCGGAUUUACUGGGCGUAAAGGGUGUGCAGGCGGGCUGUUAAGUGGUGCAUGAAAUCUCCGCGCUUAACGUGGAGAGGCUGUGCCAGACUGGCAGUCUAGAGUACGAGAGAGGGUUGUGGAAUUCCAGGUGUAGCGGUGAAAUGCGUAGAUAUCUGGAGGAAUACCGGUGGCGAAGGCGGCAUCCUGGACCGAGAUUGACGCUGAUGAGCGAAAGCUAGGGGAGCAAACGGG
rnacentral:rRNA from 1 species